rnacentral:rRNA from 1 species
CCCUUAGAUGUUCUGGGCCGCACGCGCGCUACACUGAUGCAUUCAACGAGCCUAUCCUUGACCGACAGGUCCGGGUAAUCUUUGAAUCUGCAUCGUGACGGGGAUAGAUUAUUGCAAUUAUUAAUCUUCAACGAGGAAUGCCUAGUAGGCGCAAGUCAUCAGCUUGCGUCGAUUACGUCCCUGCCCUUUGUACACACCGCCCGUCGCUCCUACCGAUUGGGUGUGCUGGUGAAAUCUUUGGACCGUGACAUAGUUUUGCUUUCGGGCAAAACGUUGUCGUGGGAAGUUGAUUAAACCUUACCAUUUAGAGGAAGGUGAAGUCGUAACA